rnacentral:rRNA from 1 species
UACGAGGGGGGCGAGCGUUGUUCGGAAUUAUUGGGCGUAAAGAGCUCGUAGGCGGUCUGUCGCGUCGGCUGUGAAAACUCGGGGCUCAACUCCGAGCUUGCAGUCGAUACGGGCAGGCUAGAGUUCGGCAGGGGAGACUGGAAUUCCUGGUGUAGCGGUGAAAUGCGCAGAUAUCAGGAGGAACACCGGUGGCGAAGGCGGGUCUCUGGGCCGAUACUGACGCUGAGGAGCGAAAGCGUGGGGAGCGAACAGG